rnacentral:rRNA from 1 species
UACGGAGGAUGCAAGCGUUAUCCGGAAUGAUUGGGCGUAAAGCGUACGCAGGUGGCACUUCAAGUCUGCUGUUAAAUACUAGGGCUUAACCCUGGAGCGGCAGUGGAAACUGAAGAGCUAGAGUUCGGUAGGGGUAGAGGGAAUUCCCAGUGUAGCGGUGAAAUGCGUAGAGAUUGGGAAGAACACCGGUGGCGAAAGCGCGCUGCUAGGCCGAAACUGACACUCAUGGUCGAAAACUAUGGGAGCGAAUGGG